rnacentral:rRNA from 1 species
GAUACCCUAUUAUUUUAAGUGUGGGUUUUGCCUUGAUUAUUAUUAGUUAAGUUCUUUAAAAUUAAAAAAUUUGGCGGUAUUUUAGUCUGUUCAGAGGAACCUGUCUCUGGAUCGAUAGUCCACGAUAAUUUGUACUUUUGUUUUUAAUUUAUAUAUCGUCGUUUUUAAAAAUCUUUGGAGAGAUUUAAUUUUUGGGAUUUUUAAUGAAAAGGUAUUUCAGAUCAAGGUGUAGUUUAUAUGAAAGUUGGGAUGGGUUACAUUAAUGUUAUUUUUGGUUCUUUGGUUUUAAAUCUUGGAUAAAUUGGAUUUGAUAGUAAAAUUUUUAUUUAUGAUUUUUGAUUUAGCUCUAAAAUAUGCACACAUCGCC